rnacentral:rRNA from 1 species
AGCAGUAGCCGCGGUAAUACAGAGGGUGCGAGCGUUAAUCGGAUUUACUGGGCGUAAAGCGUGCGUAGGCGGCUAAUUGAGUCGGAUGUGAAAUCCCCGAGCUUAACUUGGGAAUUGCAUUUGAUACUGGUUAGCUAGAGUGUGGGAGAGGAUGGUAGAAUUCCAGGUGUAGCGGUGAAAUGCGUAGAGAUCUGGAGGAAUACCGAUGGCGAAGGCAGCCAUCUGGCCUAACACUGACGCUGAGGUACGAAAGCAUGGGGAGCAAACAGGAUUAGAUACCCCGGUAGUCCCUGUCUCUUAUAC